UUGGUUUAGGGUUUGAUUUAGGAUUUGGUUUAGGGUUUAGGGUUUGAAAUAGGAUUUGAUUUAGGAUUUAAUUUAAGAUUUGUUUAGGAUUUGACUUAGGAUUUAGGAUUUAUUAGGGUUUAGGAUUUAAUUAGGUUUGGUCUAAAGUUUGAGUGAAAUUCAAUAGGGUUUUAACUAGAAUUAAAUUAAGGUUGAAUUGACAUAUAUUUGAAUAAUAUUUGUGUUCAUUCUAAUAUUUCUUUAAGAAUUUUAUUGUUUGUUUGAAAUUUCUUUGAAUUGUUUUGAAUUUCAUUACGUUUGUUUACCAUUAUUAUAGUCUAAUUAGAGCAUUGUUUGUAUUCUAUUAAAAUUAGGAUUUUGUUAUCGCAAUUUCUA
rnacentral:lncRNA from 1 species